GUUUGAUCAUGGCUCAGGACGAACGCUGGCGGCGUGCUUAACACAUGCAAGUCGAACGGUGAAGCCCUUCGGGGUGGAUCAGUGGCGAACGGGUGAGUAACACGUGAGCAACCUGCCCCUGACUCUGGGAUAACUACCGGAAACGGUGGCUAAUACCGGAUAUUACGCCCUGUCGCAUGGUGGGGUGUGGAAAGUUUUUCGGUCAGGGAUGGGCUCGCGGCCUAUCAGCUUGUUGGUGGGGUGAUGGCCUACCAAGGCGAUGACGGGUAGCCGGCCUGAGAGGGCGACCGGCCACACUGGGACUGAGACACGGCCCAGACUCCUACGGGAGGCAGCAGUGGGGAAUAUUGCGCAAUGGGCGAAAGCCUGACGCAGCGACGCCGCGUGAGGGAUGAAGGCCUUCGGGUUGUAAACCUCUUUCAGCAGGGAAGAAGCGAAAGUGACGGUACCUGCAGAAGAAGCACCGGCUAACUACGUGCCAGCAGCCGCGGUAAUACGUAGGGUGCAAGCGUUGUCCGGAAUUAUUGGGCGUAAAGAGCUCGUAGGCGGUUUGUCGCGUCUGCUGUGAAAACCUGGGGCUUAACCCCGGGCCUGCCAGUGGGUACGGGCAGACUAGAGUGCGGUAGGGGAGUGGGGAGUACGGCCGCAAGGCUAAACUCAAAGGAAUUGACGGGGGCCCGCACAAGCGGCGGAGCAUGCGGAUUAAUUCGAUGCAACGCGAAGAACCUUACCAAGGCUUGACAUGGCCAGUAAUCCGGCAGAGAUGUCGGGUCCGUAAGGCUGUUCACAGGUGGUGCAUGGUUGUCGUCAGCUCGUGUCGUGAGAUGUUGGGUUAAGUCCCGCAACGAGCGCAACCCUCGUUCCAUGUUGCCAGCACGUAAUGGUGGGGACUCAUGGGAGACUGCCGGGGUCAACUCGGAGGAAGGUGGGGAUGACGUCAAAUCAUCAUGCCCCUUAUUCUUGGGCUUCACGCAUGCUACAAUGGCCAGUACAAAGGCUGCGAGACCGUAAGUGGAGCGAAUCCCAAAAGCUGGUCUCAGUUCGGAUCGGGUCUGCAACUCGACCCCGUGAAGUCGGAGUCGC
rnacentral:rRNA from 1 species